GUGGAUUAGAUACCCUAGUAGUCCACGCCGUAAACGAUGAUGACUAGCUGUCUGGGCGCUUAGCGUUCAGGUGGCGCAGCUAACGCGUUAAGUCAUCCGCCUGGGGAGUACGGCCGCAAGGUUAAAACUCAAAGAAAUUGACGGGGGCCUGCACAAGCGGUGGAGCAUGUGGUUUAAUUCGAAGCAACGCGCAGAACCUUACCAGCGUUUGACAUGGUAGGACGGUUUCUGGAGACAGAUUCCUUCCCUUACGGGACCUACACACAGGUGCUGCACGGCCGUCGUCAGCU
rnacentral:rRNA from 1 species